rnacentral:lncRNA from 1 species
GUGAGCAGAGAGGACAGCAGUCCUUAUGAGAUCAAGCUCUAAGUCUUGCUCUGUCACCCAGGCCUGGAGUGCAGUGGAGCAAUCUCAGCUCACUGCAGCCUCCGCCUCCCGGAUUCAAGUGAUUCUUCUGCUUCAGACUCUCGAGUAGCUGGGAUUACAGUUUUGAGAAGAAUGCGAAGAAGAAAGGAAGAGUGAGCCUCUCUUUCCCAUCGUUACCCUCCAUUGUCCUCUUGACACCCUGCUUUCACAGAGAAAGAGUUUGAGACCCUCUCCCAGGAGCCAAGGAGAGGGGAACAGCUGGCUUCACAUCAUCUUUCUAUUCAACAAGAUACAAAAAGCUGAAGCCAGGAUGAUAGAAAAGCAACAAAGAAGACACGGUCCUUACUCAUUUCCCUUCCCGCUUCAGAGCAAAUAUGGUGCCUAGUGUUUGAAGGGAGAACUUGUGGGCAGAGCAGGAAGCGUGAGUAUGGUUGAAGGAUCAAAUAUUUGGUUCAGGCAUCAGGGAGCCAGCAAGACUAUGAUGCUGGGAAACACAAGUGAUGUACUGUUGGAUUUAAUCUACUUGGAAAAAACCUAGGAAAACCAAAAUGUCAUCAACUAACACCUGAAAUGCCUCAGCACCAUCUGUCUCCAACAUUAAACAAAACCCACGAGAUUCCGGGAGAAAGAAAAUAGGAAAUUUAAUGAUGAACUUAACCUGAGUAACUUGAUAAAUGUUACCUUUGUGGCUAGCCAUUCACCAGCAAGUCCCUAAAAUGACCUGAAACCUGAAGAGUGUUUCACCCAUGAAAGGGUUUGCUCUCUCUGGGCAUGGCUACCCAGCACAUAUGUUAGUCAACUUUCUUUCCCUUGCGGGGCCCCUUGGAAAACUAGUUUGAAUCAUUCAUUAACUCAGCUCCACUCCUUCCCUUUCCCAUGGACCAUAGUUUCUUUGAGCAAUUAAAACUUAUAAGACACCCAAA